UCCCUGGUGGCUCAGUGCUAGAGAAUCUGCCUGCCAGUGCAGCAGACAUGGGUUCGAUCCCUGUUCUGGGAA
rnacentral:tRNA from 1 species